GGAAGGAUCAUUACGAAAUUCGGCGCGCUCCGGCGCUGCCUUAUUCACCCACCCUUUGUCUACGUGUACCUCCAUAGCUUCCUCGGCGGGCUCGCCCGCCGCCAGGAACCCCCGAAACCCCUUGCAUUAUACACGAAAACUUCUGAUAACAAACCUAAAUUAUCACAACUUUCAACAAUGGAUCUCUUGGUUCUGGCAUCGAUGAAGAACGCAGCGAAAUGCGAUAAGUAGUGUGAAUUGCAGAAUUCAGUGAAUCAUCGAAUCUUUGAACGCACAUUGCGGCCAUAGGUAUUCCUUUGGCCAUGCCUGUUCGAGCGUCAUUUACACCCUCAAGCCUAGCUUGGUGUUGGGCGUCUGUCCCGCCGUUUUCGCGCGCGCGGACUCGCCUCAAAGUCAUUGGCGGCGGUCGUGCCGGCCCCUCGCGCAGCACAUUUGCGCUUCUCGGAGGCCCGGCGGACCCGCGCUCCAGCGAAGACCUUUCACGACUUGACCUCGGAUCAGGUAGGGAUACCCGCUGAACUUAAGCAUAUCAAUAAGCGGAGGAAAAGAAACCAACAGGGAUUGCCCUAGUAACGGCGAGUGAAGCGGCAACAGCUCAAAUUUGAAAUCUGGCCCCUUCGGGGUCCGAGUUGUAAUUUGCAGAGGGUGCUUUGGCGUUGGCGGCGGUCUAAGUUCCUUGGAACAGGACAUCGCAGAGGGUGAGAAUCCCGUAUGUGGUCGCCCGCCUUCGCCGUGUAAAGCCCCUUCGACGAGUCGAGUUGUUUGGGAAUGCAGCUCUAAAUGGGAGGUAAAUUUCUUCUAAAGCUAAAUACCGGCCAGAGACCGAUAGCGCACAAGUAGAGUGAUCGAAAGAUGAAAAGCACUUUGGAAAGAGAGUCAAACAGCACGUGAAAUUGUUGAAAGGGAAGCGCUUGCAGCCAGACUUGCCUGUAGUUGCUCACCCGGGCUCCUGCCCGGGGCACUCUUCUGCAGGCAGGCCAGCAUCAGUUUGGGCGGUUGGAUAAAGGGCUCUGACACGUACUUCCCCUCGGGGUUGACAUACAGGGGAGCCGCAAUGCGACCAGCCCGGACUGAGGUCCGCGCAUCUGCUAGGAUGCUGGCGUAAUGGCUGUAAGCGGCCCGUCUUGAAACACGGACCAAGGAGUCUAACAUCUAUGCGAGUGUUUGGGUGUCAAGCCCGAGCGCGUAAUGAAAGUGAACGGAGGUGGGAACCCCUCGGGGUGCACCAUCGACCGAUCCUGAUGUCUUCGGAUGGAUUUGAGUAAGAGCAUAGCUGUUGGGACCCGAAAGAUGGUGAACUAUGCUUGAAUAGGGUGAAGCCAGAGGAAACUCUGGUGGAGGCUCGCAGCGGUUCUGACGUGCAAAUCGAUCGUCAAAUUUGGGCAUAGGGGCGAAAGACUAAUCGAACUAUCUAGUAGCUGGUUCCUGC
rnacentral:misc_RNA from 1 species